UACGGAGGAUGCAAGCGUUAUCCGGAAUGAUUGGGCGUAAAGCGUCCGCAGGUGGCCAUGUAAGUCUGCUGUCAAAGCGUCUGGCUCAACCAGAUAAAGGCAGUGGAAACUACAUAGCUAGAGUAAGGUAGGGGUAGAGGGAAUUCCUGGUGUAGCGGUGAAAUGCGUAGAGAUCAGGAAGAACACCGGUGGCGAAAGCGCUCUGCUGGACCUUAUCUGACACUGAGGGACGAAAGCUAGGGGAGCGAAUGGG
rnacentral:rRNA from 1 species